GUAGGGGGCAAGCGUUAUCCGGAUUUACUGGGUGUAAAGGGAGCGUAGACGGAAGAGCAAGUCUGAUGUGAAAGGCUGGGGCUUAACCCCAGGACUGCAUUGGAAACUGUUUUUCUAGAGUGCCGGAGAGGUAAGCGGAAUUCCUAGUGUAGCGGUGAAAUGCGUAGAUAUUAGGAGGAACACCAGUGGCGAAGGCGGCUUACUGGACGGUAACUGACGUUGAGGCUCGAAAGCGUGGGGAGC
rnacentral:rRNA from 1 species